rnacentral:lncRNA from 1 species
UCCAUUUAGGAUUUUAAAACAAUCUAUCACCUAUCUUUGACCAUAUGGACUAAACUUGAUAUCCACCAAUAGAUACUGAUGCUUGCAAGUCAACAGCAUAAAGAGUGGUAAAGUCAGUGCUGCAAAAGAUGAAAUGUUUUUAAUGUGGCCAGAUACAUAGCGAAAUCUUCUUCUAAGCCCCCUGUGCCUGUGUCCACCACUUCAUCCCCCAAUUAGCUAUAUUUAACUUAGAUUAUGUGCCCUAGAUGUUGGCCUUACAAAACGGGAGCAAAUCUUAACCAAUCAUUGUAGCAAAACCUUUUGUUUAUGA